UAGGGAAUCUUCGGCAAUGGACGAAAGUCUGACCGAGCAACGCCGCGUGAGUGAAGAAGGUUUUCGGAUCGUAAAACUCUGUUGUUAGAGAAGAACAAGGACGUUAGUAACUGAACGUCCCCUGACGGUAUCUCACCAGAAAGCCACGGCUAACUACGUGCCAGCAGCCGCGGUAAUACGUAGGUGGCAAGCGUUGUCCGGAUUUAUUGGGCGUAAAGCGAGCGCAGGCGGUUUCUUAAGUCUGAUGUGAAAGCCCCCGGCUCAACCGGGGAGGAUCAUUGGAAACUGUGAGACUUGAGUGCAGAAGAGGAGAGUGGAAUUCCAUGUGUGGCGGUGAAAUGCGUAGAUAUAUGGAGGAACACCAGUGGCGAAGGCGGCGCUCUGGUCUGUAACUAACGCUGAGGCUCGAAAGCGUGGGGAGCAAACAGG
rnacentral:rRNA from 1 species